GUGUAGCGCAAUGGAUAGCGCGUUGGACUUCCAAUUCACAAGUCGUGGGUUCGAAUCCCACCUGAGAUG